UCGAGAAUUUUUCUCAAUGGGCGCAAGCCUGAAGGAGCGACGCCGCGUGGGGGAUGAAUGGCUUCGGCCCGUAAACCCCUGUCAUUUGCGAACAAACCUUACGAGUGAACAACUCGUGAGCUGAUUGUAGCGGAAGAGGAAGGGACGGCUAACUCUGUGCCAGCAGCCGCGGUAAUACAGAGGUCCCAAGCGUUGUUCGGAUUCACUGGGCGUAAAGGGUGCGUAGGUGGCAGGGUAAGUUUGAUGUGAAAUCUCCGAGCUCAACUCGGAAACUGCAUUGAAUACUAUCCUGCUUGAGGAUUGGAGGGGAGACUGGAAUUCUCGGUGUAGCAGUGAAAUGCGUAGAUAUCGAGAGGAACACCAGUGGCGAAGGCGAGUCUCUAGACAACUCCUGACACUGAGGCACGAAAGCUAGGGGAGCAAACA
rnacentral:rRNA from 1 species